rnacentral:lncRNA from 1 species
GCGAGCGAGCAGCGCGGAGGCCACGCUACAGCGCCAAAUUCCACACCAAACAAAGGCGCGGCGACGAACGAGCAGCCAACACCCGCACCACCUCCCCUCACCGCACCGCACUACUCCUCCUUGGCUCCAAUGUCUAAUCCACUCGCUAAUCACCUCCGCCGCACCACCAAAUAAGUACGCCCACCCCCGCGACGGAAAGCUAAUCUCUCCUCCCUCCCCCUUUCUUCUUCAUACUCCCACCAUCUCCACCACCACCACCACCAUCCUCUUUCUCCCACCCACCUUUAAGCCGCCCCAUCCCCCGCUGCGCUGAGUCACUUCCUCACGCCACCCGCCGACUGAUUGCUCGAUCGAGGUGCGGUGCGCGGCCAUGAUCUCUAUAGGCGGGUCCUCCUCGUCCUCCUCCUCCGCCGCCGCAGCGGGGGUCCGGAUGGGCGGGGCCAAGCGGCGGGGGAAACCGGGCGGGGCCGCCGCGCCGGGGGCCGCGGGCCCGCCGCAGACCAGGUGGCGGAGCGGCACGCAGGAGCGGAUCUACGGCCGGCGCCUGCUGGACGCGCUCCGGGCCACGCGGUCGGGCGCCGCCUCGUCCCCGCAGCCGCGCGCCGUCAAGGCCGCCGCCGACUCGGCGCUGGCGCUCACGGCGCGCGGGCAGUCGCGCUGGAGCCGCGCCAUCCUGCUGGCCGGCGCCGCGUCCUGCCGCCGCCGCGUGCUCGUCAAGGCCGGCGGGAAGAUCCGCCGCCACCGCCGCCCGCAGGCGCGCGCCGCCGCCGCGGCGUCCAAGGCCGCGGCCGCCGCUUCCGCCAGCGAACCGCCGUUGCUCAAGGAGAAGAAGGUGAAGGACCGGCUCCGCGUGCUGGGCCGGCUCGUCCCCGGGUGCCGGAAGCUGCAGGCCCCCGACCUGCUCGAGGAGACGGCCGACUACGUGGCCGCGCUGGAGAUGCAGGUCAAGGCCAUGCGCGCGCUCGCCGACGCGCUCGCGGCGGCCCAGCUGUCCUCGCCUCCCCCGCCGGCCGCCGCCGCCGCCGACGAGGCCGAGAUGGAGAGGUGAGGGUCUGAGCCUCGCCUCGCCUCCGAGAGGGAGAUUGAUGACACGAUGGCUCGGGGAAAUAAGGCGAUUGAUUACUGGAUGGAUGGACGGAUGGAUUGUUACCGCGAGAGGGGGUCCUGGGAUUCCAGGAGGGUAUUGUGAUUCCGAUGAUGAUGAUUGCUGCUGCUGCUGCUGCUGCUGAUUUGUAAAUUCUUGAUGCUACUACUUGUAUAAGUAAUGCUGCUCUGCUCCUCUCCUGUGUUCUUGAAAUGUUCUUCCUCCUCCUGAAACAAGACGGGGGGAUUCCUGUGCCUGUCUGUCUCCUGCGGAUUGGAUUGGAUUGGAAUUGGAUUAUGCUUUUGUUU